UGCAAGUCGAGCGGGCGUCGCAAGACGUCAGCGGCAGACGGGAGAGUAACACGUGGGAACGUACCCUUCGGUUCGGAAUAACCCAGGGAAACUUGGGCUAAUACCGGAUACGUCCGUAAGGAGAAAGAUUUAUCGCCGAGGGAUCGGCCCGCGUCCGAUUAGCUAGUUGGUGGGGUAAUGGCCCACCAAGGCGACGAUCGGUAGCUGGUCUGAGAGGAUGAUCAGCCUCACUGGGACUGAGACACGGCCCAGACUCCUACGGGAGGCAGCAGUGGGGAAUAUUGGACAAUGGGCGCAAGCCUGAUCCAGCCAUGCCGCGUGGGUGAUGAAGGCCCUAGGGUUGUAAAGCCCUUUCGGCGGGGAAGAUAAUGACGGUACCCGCAGAAGAAGCCCCGGCUAACUUCGUGCCAGCAGCCGCGGUAAUACGAAGGGGGCUAGCGUUGCUCGGAAUCACUGGGCGUAAAGCGCACGUAGGCGGAUUGCUAAGUCAGGGGUGAAAUCCUGGAGCUCAACUCCAGAACUGCCUUUGAUACUGGCGAUCUCGAGUCCGGGAGAGGUGAGUGGAACUGCGAGUGUAGAGGUGAAAUUCGUAGAUAUUCGCAAGAACACCAGUGGCGAAGGCGGCUCACUGGCCCGGUACUG
rnacentral:rRNA from 1 species